UACGUAGGUGGCAAGCGUUGUUCGGAAUUAUUGGGCGUAAAGGGCGCGUAGGCGGUCUUGUAAGUCAGCUGUGAAAGCCCGGGGCUCAACCCCGGAGGGUCGGCUGAUACUGCAGGACUGGAGUACGGAAGAGGUAGCUGGAAUUCCCGGUGUAGCGGUGAAAUGCGUAGAUAUCGUAAGGAAGACCAGUGGCGAAGGCGGGUCUCUGGACAGUUCCUGACGCUGAGGCACGAAGGCCAGGGGAGCAAACGGG
rnacentral:rRNA from 1 species